rnacentral:piRNA from 1 species
UGUUACUGCCUCAUAGCCUGUCAUGCUGC